rnacentral:lncRNA from 1 species
AAGGAUUUCAUAAAACAUGCUUCACUUUACAUAUCACAAAAUACAUUAAAUAGGAGGUGUCUACCCACUUUGAUCAAGUUGUUGACGAACACGCGCUCGAAGUGUAGCGUCCUUACUUCCGCUAACUGUUGAAGUUUCGAAUGAUCUUAAAGUAGUAAUCACUAACACAUUAACUUCCGUUUAAUCCAACAAUCCUAUAGCUCAAUGUUAGGUCAGCUUAAAUCCUAACUUAACCUCUCUUAAUCUAUUUUCCAGUAUGUAAAUCUACUGUCACAUGUUAAACUAACAUCACAACUACUAAAAUCUAGGUCUUCAUUUACCUUAGUGAGCUUGUAAUGAGAGGAACCCACUUAGGAUUUCAACUCCUUUUCUGAAAACAAGAAAUCUAAUGAGAGAAAUAAUUCUCAAUGCUGGAAAACAAAGAUUCAAGAGCUUUUAAGAUUGAAACUCACCUUUUUUAAAGUUUUCAAAACCCAUAAAUCUGAAAAUACUCUUCAAAAAUGAGACCUUGUAGCAAGAGGGUUGAGGAAAGGCUGAGACUUGAGAAGCGAGCUACA